AGGGGAACAACAGCUGGAAACGGCUGCUAAUACCCCAUAGGCUGAGGAGCAAAAGGAGGAAUCCGCCCAAGGAGGGGCUCGCGUCUGAUUAGCUAGUUGGUGAGGCAAUGGCUUACCAAGGCGACGAUCAGUAGCUGGUCCGAGAGGAUGAUCAGCCACACUGGGACUGAGACACGGCCCAGACUCCUACGGGAGGCAGCAGUGGGGAAUUUUCCGCAAUGGGCGAAAGCCUGACGGAGCAAUGCCGCGUGAAGGCAGAAGGCCCACGGGUCAUGAACUUCUUUUCUC
rnacentral:rRNA from 1 species